rnacentral:rRNA from 1 species
UACGAAGGGGGCUAGCGUUGUUCGGAUUUACUGGGCGUAAAGCGCACGUAGGCGGAUCGAUCAGUCGGGGGUGAAAUCCCAGAGCUCAACUCUGGAACUGCCUUUGAUACUGCGGUGCUUGAGGACUGGAGAGGAGACUGGAAUUUACGGUGUAGCAGUGAAAUGCGUAGAGAUCGUAAGGAAGACCAGUGGCGAAGGCGGGUCUCUGGACAGUUCCUGACACUGAGGCACGAAGGCCAGGGGAGCAAACGGG